AUUGAACGCUGGCGGCAGGCCUAACACAUGCAAGUCGAACGAGUGGCGGACGGGUGAGUAAUGUCUGGGAAACUGCCUGAUGGAGGGGGAUAACUACUGGAAACGGUAGCUAAUACCGCAUACCAUCAGAUGUGCCCAGAUGGGAUUAGCUAGUUGGUGGGGUAACGGCUCACAAAGGCGACGAUCCCUAGCUGGUCUGAGAGGAUGACCAGCCAACCUGGAACGGUGACACGGUCCAGACGCCGACGUGAUGCAGCAUGGGGGAAUAUUGCACAGUGGGCGCAAGCCUGAUGCAGCCAUGCCGCGUGUAUGAAGAAGGCCGUCGGUUUGUAAAGUACUUUCAGCGGGGAGGCGUUACCCGCAGAAGAAGAACCGGCUAACUCCGUGCCAGAAGCCGAGGUAAUUC
rnacentral:rRNA from 1 species